GGGUGGUGGGAAGCUCCCAAUCGCUGGAAGUCAGACGUUCAGCUCAGCUCUGCUCAUUUAAAGCAGUGGUCACCCCUCUUCUGCUUCCUAGACUUAGGGGUGCCAUCAGGCCCUUCUGGAGCCAGCUUCCUACUUGGAGGACACAGAAAAGACCACCGUGCUUCUGCAAUGUGGAUUCCCAGCACCACUUCAAGGUUCCAAAUCCCCGCUGGACCACUAACUUGAAGGUCUUCUCCUGUGGGAGCAAUAACCGUCACAGCUGUGCCUGCCCACGUGCUCACAGAGAGGCAGUAUGGUAGGGUGGCUAAGAGCUUAGACCCAGGAGGCAGGCUGCCCUGGCUCUGU
rnacentral:lncRNA from 1 species